CUUCCAGUAGCACCUUAGAGACCAACUAAGUUUGUUAUUGGUAUGAGCUUUCAUGUGCAUGCACGAAAUGUCCACCAUGUCUCAUACCAAUAACAAACUUAGUUGGUCUCUAAGGUGCUACUGGAAG